ensembl:misc_RNA 7SK 7SK RNA
GGAACUUGGCUUGGGCAUCUGUCAUUCUGUUGGCCAUCGUGGUUGACCUAGGUGGUCUGGCUGUUGAGAGGGGAACUUACUGCUCCUGGUGUCUCUUCCAAAGCUGUGUGACUGGCUAAAGAUGACCUUCUCCAGUAAAGGGCUGUUCUUUGGCUAAGAGCAUACAAGUAGUUGUACUUCUCAGCCAGAAUCUCCAAAAUGGUCUCAGGAAAUCAGAACUUCUCUCUCCUUGGGUGAAGAUGAAGCCUGGCCAGUCACUGGGACAAUCAGCUUGUCUCCCCCA